GACGAACGCUGGCGGCGUGCUUAACACAUGCAAGUCGAACGAUGAAAGCGGGAGCUUGCUCCUGCUGGAUUAGUGGCGAACGGGUGAGUAACACGUGAGCAAUCUGCCCUUGACUCUGGGAUAACGCCGAGAAAUUGGUGCUAAUACCGGAUAUGACCCCUGGCGGCAUCGCUGGGGGUGGAAAGUUUUUCGGUCAAGGAUGAGCUCGCGGCCUAUCAGCUAGUUGGUGAGGUAAUGGCUCACCAAGGCGACGACGGGUAGCCGGCCUGAGAGGGUGACCGGCCACACUGGGACUGAGACACGGCCCAGACUCCUACGGGAGGCAGCAGUGGGGAAUAUUGCACAAUGGGCGCAAGCCUGAUGCAGCAACGCCGCGUGGGGGAUGACGGCCUCGG
rnacentral:rRNA from 1 species